GUUUUCGAUUAUUGCAGCGUCUCGUACUCAUCAGAUUCGCCUUUUCCGAAUUAAUUGGCCGCAUUAGCCGAAGCGACGUCGUCAUCAGGAGCGACAUCGAUGGUAGUGCGUACAUGCUUUGAGAAGAGACAGAAGAAGCUAGCGUGCAGAGAGAGACAUAUAUUUGGAGUCCAGUUUCGAUUUAGCAGUGACUCGGGAAGGAUUGUUUCGUUCGAUCUACAUAUUCUUAAAAAGUGCUUGACAAUUGGUAGUUAGUGAAAGUUUGUCAUCAUUGGAAAUUUUGUGAAUUCCGUAAUUUGGAGGAUUUUUCAUCAGCACUGACUUUUAAUCAGUCAUCACGGUGCCUAGUCCAUCGCAGUACUUAUUCAACUUCCAACCACGAAGGGCAGGCGUUACAUGGCAUCGCACAAUUCGUUUGCAGGUAUGGAAUAAGUAUCAGUAUGAUAUAAGUUAGGGUAUAUUAUAAAAAUAUAUUCAAUGUAAUAUAUUGUAAAAUUACAUUGGCAGUAAUAUAUUAACAGAUAA